rnacentral:rRNA from 1 species
AUUGAACGCUGGCGGCAUGCCUAACACAUGCAAGUCGAACGGAGGUAGGGGCAACUCUACUUCAGUGGCGGACGGGUGAGGAAUGCGUCGGAAUCUACCCUAUGGUGGGGGAUAACACAGGGAAACUUGUGCUAAUACCGCAUAAUGUCGAGAGACCAAAAGCAGGGGACCGCAAGGCCUUGCGCGAUAGGAUGAGCCGACGCCCGAUUAGCUAGUUGGUAGGGUAAAGCCUACCAAGGCGACGAUCGGUAGCUGGUCUGAGAGGAUGAUCAGCCACACUGGGACUGAGACACGGCCCAGACUCCUACGGGAGGCAGCAGUGGGGAAUAUUGGACAAUGGGCGCAAGCCUGAUCCAGCAAUGCCGCGUGUGUGAAGAAGGCCUGCGGGUUGUAAAGCACUUUUGUUCGGGAAGAAAUCAUGCUGGUUAAUACCUGGUAUGGAUGACGGUACCGAAAGAAUAAGCACCGGCUAACUUCGUGCCAGCAG